rnacentral:rRNA from 1 species
GAAGUGCUUGCACUUUGCUGACGAGUGGCGGACGGGUGAGUAAUGCUUGGGAACUUGCCUUUGCGAGGGGGAUAACAGUUGGAAACGACUGCUAAUACCGCAUAAUGUCUACGGACCAAACGGGGCUUACGCUUCAGCGCAGAGAGAGGCCCAAGUGAGAUUAGCUAGUUGGUGGGGUAAAGGCUCACCAAGGCGACGAUCUCUAGCUGUUCUGAGAGGAAGAUCAGCCACACUGGGACUGAGACACGGCCCAGACUCCUACGGGAGGCAGCAGUGGGGAAUAUUGCACAAUGGGGGGAACCCUGAUGCAGCCAUGCCGCGUGUGUGAAGAAGGCCUUCGGGUUGUAAAGCACUUUCAGUUGUGAGGAAAAGUGAGUAGUUAAUACCUGCUCACCGUGACGUUAACAACAGAAGAAGCACCGGCUAACUCCGUGCCAGCAGCCGCGGUAAUACGGAGGGUGCGAGCGUUAAUCGGAAUUACUGGGCGUAAAGCGCACGCAGGCGGUUUGUUAAGCUAGAUGUGAAAGCCCCGAGCUCAACUUGGGAUGGUCAUUUAGAACUGGCAGACUAGAGUCUUGGAGAGGGGAGUGGAAUUCCAGGUGUAGCGGUGAAAUGCGUANAUAUCUGGAGGAACAUCANUGGCGAAGGCGACUCCCUGGCCAAAGACUGACGCUCAUGUGCGAAAGUGUGGGUAGCGAACAGGAUUAGAUACCCUGGUAGUCCACACCGUAAACGCUGUCUACUAGCUGUUUGUGGCUUUAA